rnacentral:misc_RNA from 1 species
GCUUCUUCGAAUCGCUUGUGAUGUAUAUGAAUAUGAACACUCAAGAAGCAAUUGAUAGUACUGCAAAAAAUUCUUCCAUCAUAAUAUGUCAUCCACUUCAAACAUAUUCUUGCUUGUUCUCAUUUUUGCUGCCUUAGUUCCACACAAAUCAGAUGGAGAAUUUCAGGAAUGGUGCAUAGCUGAUGAGCAAACUCCAGAAGAAGAGUUGCAGAUAGCACUUGAUUGGGCAUGUGGAAAGGGAGGAGCAGAUUGCAGAAUGAUACAAAAAAAUCAACCUUGUUACUUACCAAAUACAGUGAAAGAUCAUGCUUCUUUUGCUUUCAAUAAUUACUAUCAGAAGUUUAAGCAUCAAGGAGCUACUUGUUACUUCAAUGCUGCUGCUAUGAUUACUGAUCUUGAUCCAAGUCAUAACUCCUGCCAAUUUUUGUAAUCUUCCGUGAGUGAAAUGAUUGGAGAUCAAUCUUGCAUUUGGUUUGGAAGUUGAGUUGAGUGAGUUUUGGCUCAAUUUGCUUAUAAUGUGUGCUUUUCAGUGAAUUUUGUAAUUUUUAUUUCUUUAUUAUAUUGUAAGGACAAGAGGAAAAAUUUUUGUUUGGCUCAAUUUACAUGUAUAUUUAUGCUUUGUGAAGUUAAAAUGGUUGGUGUUUAAAUCAAAUCAAUGUAGAAUUCAUUUUAUUUGUAAUGAAUUCAAUUAAUAAAUUUAACACUUGUCUCUUUUACAAA